rnacentral:lncRNA from 1 species
CGGGCGGGGUGUGGGUGGCUGCAGGGACGGUGGACAUUUUGCGAGUCGCGGCUGCCCCCGGUGCGGCGGCCUCGGGUCACAUUGCAGGCCAAGCCAGAUGGGCAAGCAAUACAAGCUGUGAAUUUAUUCUUGACCCCGUAGGACAGUGA